rnacentral:rRNA from 1 species
UACAGAGGUCUCAAGCGUUGUUCGGAUUCAUUGGGCGUAAAGGGUGUGUAGGUGGCGCGCUAAGUCGGGUGUGAAAUUUCGGAGCUUAACUUCGAAACUGCAUUCGAUACUGGCGUGAUUGAGGACUGGAGAGGAGACUGGAAUUUACGGUGUAGCAGUGAAAUGCGUAGAUAUCGUAAGGAAGACCAGUGGCGAAGGCGGGUCUCUGGACAGUUACUGACACUGAGACACGAAGGCCAGGGGAGCAAACGGG